GACAGAGGGUGCAAACGUUGUUCGGAAUUACUGGGCGUAAAGGGCGCGUAGGCGGACAGUUUAGUCAGAGGUGAAAGCCCAGGGCUCAACCUUGGAACUGCCUUUGAUACUGGCUGUCUUGAGUUCGGGAGAGGUGAGUGGAAUGCCGAGUGUAGAGGUGAAAUUCGUAGAUAUUCGGCGGAACACCAGUGGCGAAGGCGACUCACUGGCCCGAUACUGACGCUGAGGCGCGAAAGCGUGGGGAGCAAACAGG
rnacentral:rRNA from 1 species